rnacentral:tRNA from 1 species
GCCCCUGUAGCAUAGUCGCUAUUGCGGUUGACUCGUAAUCAACAGGUCGUGAGUUCAAGUCUCACCAGGGGCU